rnacentral:rRNA from 1 species
GUAGGGAAUCUUCCACAAUGGACGAAAGUCUGAUGGAGCAACGCCGCGUGAGUGAAGAAGGUCUUCGGAUCGUAAAACUCUGUUGUUAGAGAAGAACGUGCAUGAUAGUAACUGAUCAUGUAAUGACGGUAUCUAACCAGAAAGCCACGGCUAACUACGUGCCAGCAGCCGCGGUAAUACGUAGGUGGCAAGCGUUGUCCGGAUUUAUUGGGCGUAAAGGGAACGCAGGCGGUUUUUUAAGUCUGAUGUGAAAGCCUUCGGCUUAACCGAAGAAUAGCAUUGGAAACUGGAAGACUUGAGUGCAGAAGAGGAGGGUGGAAUUCCAUGUGUAGCGGUGAAAUGCGUAGAUAUAUGGAGGAACACCAGUGGCGAAAGCGGCUCUCUGGUCUGUAACUGACGCUGAGGUUCGAAAGCGUGGGUAGCAAACAGGAUUAGAAACCCGGGUAGUCC